GGAUUGUGGCUCAGUGGUAGAGUGCUCGCCUAGCAUGUGCAAGGCCCUGGGUUUGAUACUCAGCACCA
rnacentral:tRNA from 1 species